GCUGGGGUAGAGAUGUAGCAUCAAACAUUCAUGGAUGCCCAGGGACCACGGGCCCACAGGCUGCUGGCCAGAGGUACUAGGAAGGUACAGGCGGGAGCCCGACGAGGAUGUGCCUUCCUCUGCCUUGGAAAGGGGGCUGUUCACCGUGUAUGCUGGAUGUGUUAAGCCCUGAGGUCGUGUGAAAAGAAGUUUGCUUUGGGCCCAUCCAUCUCCUACUGGCUAUCCACAAGAUGGAGAAGGCGGAAGCAACCCGAGGAGGCAUCUUUGUCUGACACCUCUGGUGAAGUCCUGUUGUACAUGGCUAUUUAAAUGUCUAUUGAUGGUGUAAUUUGAAGUCAGCUAUUGUCAGUUGGCCUCAAAGGUGGGCCAUUGAGAAGAUGGGUGUUCUUUGUGCCUAAAAAAAAGCAGCAGUUGAAGGAUGGAGCAGGAAAGGGGUAUCAGCAUUACAGGAAAGUCAUGUGAACUGCCUGCAAGCAUCUCCAAGGAAAGAAAAUGGCGUUCCAUGCGAUCUUC